rnacentral:lncRNA from 15 species
GAUGUAUUUCACCCAGCCCAGGUUCUGCAUACAGGAAGUGUAUUGGACCAAUCAGUGGAUUGUUUGCGGGUGCACAUCUGCAUGCCGGUCGGCUCUGAUAAGCAGCACAUCCUCUGGUGCUGUUUGUUUGUAUUUGCUCUUUGUUGAUCUAAUGGGGAGCACUCUGUAGUCUCGACAGGCCCAGCAUGCAUUAAAGACCUUGUAUUACCGUGACUCCAGCUCACCUGCUGAGGUUUACCCACCGGCAUCAUAAAGCAUCGCACGACUCUCGUUCUCCAUCUCAAUGAGCCUUAAAAAGCUUCAAAAUGGGGGGGCUGUUGGCUCCAUUUCAUGACUGAACAACACAGGCUGGGUGGAUAUGAGCUGCUAAUGACUGCCGUAAAGUCCAGGGGGGAGUGGAGGAGGGGGGAGGAGGGAGGGGGAGACCAUCCUGCAGGAACAGUUGUGGCGGUGUGAGGAUUUGAUUCAGUGAGAUUCAUUAUCUGGGAGGCUUCCUGCAGCAGCAUGUCCGACCUCAGGCUUCCCCAGCUGCACACUGUUCAUUUGCUCAGUUUAAUGAGGAUAAAAAAAGAGAGAGAUCUUUACAGGAAUCUGCACUGCUGGGCGAGAAGAUUCUUGGAACUGUGGUGCUAUCCAGUGAACCAGCCCUCGUUUCCAGCUGUUCUGAGUGGGACCAAAGUAAUCGGACACAAACUGAGGGCACCGCAACACGACCCGUAGACACGCCCACUUUGGUUCCAGAGGAAAACGUUGCUGUUUUUGGUUCCCAACUUUUCAGGAUCCGAACUAAUUUAUUUAUGGUCGAAAUCCUCCGAACGUUUGAAAACGAGGUGAUUGACAGCCAGCUAAAUAUAUUUGUCUUCAACACAAAAAGGAUUUGUUUUAGUCAGUGUAAUUCUGAAAUGAAUGUUUUUGUUCUGUUCACUGUAUAUUGUAUAUUUACUGUAAAACAAUUAAAAGCAGGGUCCCGAUAAGAUGCAGGUCCUCUUCACUAGUUUGUUGUGGCUCCACAAUUUGACAAAAAAAACCCCAAUUCUGGUCUGUUCUGGAUUUUAUAGAAGUUCUUUGGAUGUAUAGAACCUGCUUAAAGUCCACUCUAAGCUGCCGACAUCGCCUACACGAAUAUAAAUGUUUAAACUUUUGUCAAUAUGGACGUGAUACACAUUGUUAGAUCAGUUCAGUUCUCCAUAACUCGGUCCUUCAGUUCAAACCACUGAUUUGUUAUUCAAUAGAAAGUAGAGAGAGAGAUACGAGUACAAGAAACGACUCCAAUCCUGUGCGUCAUCAAGGUUCAGUUGUGCCUCUCUUCCUAAGAGCUGGUUAAUCAAACCAUGGUUCUUCUCCCUACAGUGCCUAGCAAUGGCAGAGUCCAUGUUCCUAAUGGCCGCCUCGUGCUCGGCAACUCUUAGUUUAAGAUUACGUUUGGUUUGGUCCACAUGAGCAAUUUAAACUCUUCAUUGGAACAAUCUACUUCCUUCACUACAAUCGAUAUCUACAUGUUCUUUGUUCAAAUGUCUCUAAUAAAGAUUCUUAACACAUCUCAGUAUAAUGAUGACUAAUGAAUCUUCUAUGAAGCCGCCUGGAGUUCGGUGAGGAUUCAUAAAGCACACGCGGAGAUAUCGUCUCUUCAAAGUAACUGAAAUAUCAUUUAUUUAUCUACACGCUCCGCUUGACUUUUC